ensembl:ncRNA C08G9.6 ncRNA
ACACAAUUUGUGCAGAGCCUCACAGGAGAGGAGCUCUGUAGUAGAGAUAGGGAAGAUUUGAAGAGAAGUUUGUUUUGGUUCUUCUUUUUAGUGGAGAGUCCCGCGGGAAUUGGUGUGCCAACUGCACCCACACUCUGCCACAUCAAUG